rnacentral:rRNA from 1 species
GACGAACGCUGGCGGCGUGCUUAACACAUGCAAGUCGAACGGAGAUUAUUAAAUGAAGCUUGCGAUUUAAUAAUCUUAGUGGCGGACGGGUGAGUAACGCGUGGGCAACCUACCCAUAAGCGGGGGAUAACAGUUGGAAACGACUGCUAAUACCGCAUAAGCUAUUAAGGUCGCAUGACCUUAAUAGUAAAGGUGGCGAAAGCUAUCACUUAUGGAUGGGCCCGCGUCUGAUUAGCUAGUUGGUGGGGUAGCGGCCUACCAAGGCAACGAUCAGUAGCCGGCCUGAGAGGGUGGACGGCCACACUGGGACUGAGACACGGCCCAGACUCCUACGGGAGGCAGCAGUGGGGAAUAUUGCGCAAUGGGGGAAACCCUGACGCAGCGACGCCGCGUGAGCGAAGAAGGCCUUAGGGUCGUAAAGCUCUGUUGUAAGGGACGAAUGUUUAUCUGGCGAAUAGUCAGAUAAAGUGACGGUACCUUACCAGCAAGCCCCGGCUAACUACGUGCCAGC